GUCUACCGUCAUAUCAUCCUGAACAUACCCAAUCUCGUCUGAUCUUGGAAGCUAAGCAGGGUCAGGCCUGGUUAGUACUUAAGAUGGCAGACC
ensembl:rRNA 5S_rRNA 5S ribosomal RNA